GUGUUUAGGGAUAAAAACCUUGGACCAUGCCACUGGCGAGGUCGUAAGUAUAUUCAAAACUGCUGCAGCCUGAUACUUAUUGCUAGCAAAAGGCCAUAUAAACCCCGGAAUCCCUUGAGUUACUACUUGCAAAGCACCAGGCCUUAGUUGCGUAAGCUUCCUCCACUUCAGUUUCAUCUUAUUCUUUAGAGUUAAGAAAUCUAUUUCCUUUCCCGCGGAGACCGGAGAAGCCAGAAGAUAAAAGAGAGUUUAUAUGUCUGGCCCAAAAGAAAAGCUCACUGGUAAAAUUUAUUUAUGGGUCAAUCAAUCCAUUCAUUCAGCAACAAUGCCUGGCCCAAGUACUUUCAACUCUUCCAACUUCAAAUUAGGGUGAACCACCAGCAUUAACCAAAAACAAAACCAAUAAAAACAUACAUAAAGCGGCAAAGGCUAGCCUAGCCGUUCGUUCAUGGACGCUUAAGAAAUUUCGUUCAUAAGGUACGAUAUCGUUUUCCGUGUCUUCCAGCUUUUCCAGUUUUGUUCCUAAAUUUGUGUUCCACUGAAGUGGGAAGUUGAGAAUGUCUAAAGAGGCAGGCUUAAAUCUUAAGCUCAACAAAAAAAUAAAGGUUUCUUUGGGGAAACCUAAGAAUUACAUUAACAGGGAUGCAACUAAACCUAGUGUUGAAAAGGACGGUGUUAUUGGUGGGAAGACCAACUCUGAAAGUAGAAGACUUAAAGAUGAUGGGAGAAGAAUGAGAGUUGAUUCUCAUAAGAAUUUAGAGGCAAACCAUAAGAAGGUUUCAUCUGGAAAACACUCGAAGACGGUCAAGGGUGACUUAAACAAAGAGAGAAAAAGCAAUGUCAAAGCUUCUCCUCCCUUAGAGAGAGCUACUUCUCGUAACCCUAAGAAUGGCGGCACUAGAGCAAAAGAAAUAGAAAUAGAUAGUACUCCAAAUGAUUCAUCAAAGAAACAUGCCAAUGCCAGAGCCAACUCAACUAAAAAAGUAGUUCGGGUUAGAAAAAGCUUAAAAACUGAUUCAGAAGCUGUAGAUGAUAAGCCGAAGAAAAAAAAGCGGGUAAUCCGUUUAGAUCCUUAUGAUAUCUCAAACAAGCGGCUUGAUGAUGGCAUUGCAACUGAUGAAAGUAAAAAGGAUAAGAAAAAGGAUUUGGAGGAAAAUGCUGCCAUGUCAAAGAAUGCGCAAUUCCGUGGAAUACAGCCCAGUCCGUCCAUCCUUUCCUUUGUGGAAGAUAAUUUGUUAGGGCGUAGACGAUCUAUUGAGAUCCAGAGAGCAGGCUAUAACACUGAGCUUUCUGCCCCAUUAGAUAAUAUCCCUUUUUCUACCAAUCCGGAAAGGGAACGCAUUGAGGAAAAUAUAUUUAGGAACAAGUUGCAGUUUUUCGCUGCUGCAAAGGUUUCAUCUUCAUUUCCUGCUCUUGAUAUUCCUGAGAUCGCAUUUGCAGGGAGGUCAAAUGUUGGGAAGUCAUCUCUACUUAACGCACUUACCAGACAAUGGGGUGUUGUACGGACAUCAGACAAACCAGGCCUCACUCAAAGUAUUAAUUUCUUCCAGUUGGGAUCGAAGCUCUGCCUGGUUGAUUUGCCUGGCUAUGGCUUUGCUUAUGCAAAGGAAGAAGUUAAGGAGGCGUGGGAAGAGCUUGUGAAGGAGUAUGUUUCAACAAGAGUUGGUCUAAAACGAGUGUGCCUGCUCAUUGAUACAAAGUGGGGUAUGAAGCCUAGAGAUAAUGAACUUAUUGAUCUCAUGGAAAGAUCUCAAACAAAAUACCAGAUUGUCUUAACCAAGACAGAUACAGUGUUCCCAAUUGAUGUGGCACGUCGUGCAAUGCAAAUUGAAGAGGGCCUCAAGGCAAAUAGAUCUAUAGUUCAACCUGUGAUGAUGGUGAGCUCAAAAUCCGGAGCUGGUAUCCGAAGUUUAAGAACUGUCCUUUCUAAGAUCGCUAGGUUUGCCAAGAUCUAAUUGUGGCCAGGUAUCAUCUACUAAUCAAUGACAUCAGGAAUGACUUCCAACUUGAUAGAUUUACCUUUUGACUAGUUUUAUUUUCCUUGCAGGAUGUGUCCUAGUGCAGAUGCAACUACUUCAGUGUUGGCAGGUGACCUGCUCUUGUCGUUGUUGUCAGCUUGAAGUUAUUUAAUCAAACAGGAAAUGAUAUUAUUAUGUAGAGGUAUUGGUGGGUUGUCUCACUCUUUCUGUGGCAUCAGAUGUAACUGUAUAAGGGAUUUUUAUGAUUGUUUUUCUUUUUUUGUAAGAUUUCCCAAAAGAAAAGCAAAAUGAAGUGUUGAAAACUUGUUACGUGAUAAA